AACGUAGGAGACAAACGUUAUCCGGAGUUACUGGGCGUAAAGGGCGUGUAGGCGGUUUGUUAAGUCUGGCGUGAAAGCUCUCGGCUAAACCGGGAGAGGUCGUUGGAUACUGGCAAACUUGAGGACGGUAGAGGCGUGUGGAAUUUCGGGUGUAGUGGUGAAAUGCGUAGAGAUCCGGAGGAACACCAGUGGCGAAGGCGACACGCUGGGCCGUACCUGACGCUAAAGCGCGACAGCAUGGGGAGCAAACGGG
rnacentral:rRNA from 1 species